GCCAUUGAGUCGGAUGAUGACGUCAUUAAGGCUGUAGAGUCCUACCUGAAGGACCAAAAUGAAGCCUUCUACCAUGAAGGCAUCGGAAUGUUGGAGCACCGCUGGACAAAGUGCAUUGAGGUGAAGGGGGACUGUGUUGAAAAAUAACCAGGAACUACGAGUAUCCUGACAACCCUUCUUGGUGAGGCUGAGAACCUUUCGAUCUACCCUUGCAUAUACAGACACCC